rnacentral:lncRNA from 1 species
AUUUCCCCCAUCAUGACAGCUGCUUUUCAUGGCUCCCACUGUACAGUGUUCUACUGUUCUGUGGUGUGGCUAUUUCUGUUGGAAGUUAGUUGCCUCUAUUCAUUGAAGCUACUGAAAGUUUUCUUCACUUGACUACAGUAUGGAUAUGGAGCAUCUGUAACUGUCCUUCCAAGAAGUCUUUCUGGCAAGCAUCAGAUGACUUAACCAUUUGCUCCCUUUACAUUGUAGUUUCUUUUCAUCUUCAUUUUUCCACUGAUAUGUAAAGCUGGAUAGCAUCUAAGACUGCAGUAGACUAUGAGAGGAAGAAGAAGAGGAAGGGCUGCUCAGCUGUUGUGAUACCCAGAUGGGGCUGCUUACACCUGCUUCUGCUGAACCAGGCUGCUCAACCAAGCCAGGUGUAAACCAGUGUUCUGUAAAUGAUCAUCUAAAAUUGGUGUUCCAUCAUCGUGGGGGAAGAGCACAUUUGGAGGUGUUCUUCAGUCCGACAAAUUUCUCCAUUCAUUAUCUGGAUGAAUAUUACUGAAUCUUCACAAUUGGGCUAGACCAAGAUUGUGGAUACCUCUUGGUGGAUACCUUCAUUGAGGGAACUGACACAUGAGCAUCCUCAAGGAAGGAAGGAACAAUCAAGUGUUUAAUUCUGAAGAACUCAUCACUGGAUGUCUCCAGAGAGGACUCAGAAAACCAAUGGAAGUGAGACAAACUGAAGUGUGGUUGGAAACUAGGCUGGGUAGCAGAGACAGUGUCCAAGCAUCUGGAUAAAUGGAUACAGGAGAUGAGAGACACUAUAAUAUAACAAUUCCACUAGAUGAUAAUAGACUAGUUGAAAGUGAAAGGAACUAUGUAUAAACUAACUUCGUUGUGAUGAAAACUGUUGUGGUGCUUUUAGAGACAGAGAGAAAGGUAUCUGGGCUGAGGUUCCCAGGGUGGUCUAUGGCCAGGGAUGUGCUAAUAAGCAUGGCUGAUGGCUUGUCACCCAUGUACAUACAGAGAACACUAAUUGAUUCAGUGGGUUUAACAUUAAAAGGGAGAGAACAUGAGAUUGGUAAGGGAAUGGAGGAUACUUGGGAGGAACUGAAGGGUAAUGGGCAGUAUAUAUGAUCAAAUACAUUAUAGAUAUGUUUGAAAUUCCCAAUGAAUAAUAAUAAACAAUUUCUAUAGAUAAUCUAGAGGCAAUUAUAGCAAGAGCCAAUGAUAUGCAGUCUUAAUUCAAAGACAAUACACUAUAUUUCUAAGUAGC